rnacentral:rRNA from 1 species
UACGAAGGGUGCAAGCGUUACUCGGAAUUACUGGGCGUAAAGCGUGCGUAGGUGGUUGGUUAAGUCUGCUGUGAAAGCCCCGGGCUCAACCUGGGAAUGGCAGUGGAUACUGGCGAACUAGAGUGCGGUAGAGGGUAGUGGAAUUCCCGGUGUAGCGGUGAAAUGCGUAGAGAUCGGGAGGAACACCAGUGGCGAAGGCGGCUACCUGGACCAGCACUGACACUCAAGUACGAAAGCGUGGGGAGCAAACAGG